rnacentral:rRNA from 1 species
CUGCGGAGAUCAUUUAC